rnacentral:lncRNA from 1 species
UAGCAGCUGAGCGCGUAGGGGCCGAGCGACCCCGGGACGCUCGCGGCACCCUCCGCAGGAAAAUUUCCGACUUGGUUCUUGAGGUUCCUGCCUCAGCCCCAAGGAGGAAAGCACCCAUUCUCCCCUCUUUUCCGCAUUCCGGGCCUUUUCUGCUUCUCCCCAGUAUGGUCCGAAACUACAGGAGGGGAACCCCUCCUGGCCCGGCCUUUCUAUUCCCUGGCUGGAGUGAUUCCGCCUGAAGGAGAAUUCGCCCGUUUUCCCCGGACCCAGCUGCCACAAGCAUUUAGUAUUAGGCUGCCGCUUAUUAUUAGAGCGGGCUUAGAACAUCCUCAGCGAGAUUGAUCUGGAGCAUAGCAGAGAGAGAUUCUUAUUUGAUCUUUCAAACAACAGAGUGAGGGAAAAGUUCAGUUAGAAGACAUACUUCACCAUCUUGAAAAAGAAGAAAUCAAUCCCCUUGCUACUACAGAACAACAACUCUGUUUGGUGCUUAUUCCAGCCAGCACAGUGAAGACAGGCUGAGGACCGCUACCACAGAUGUAGAAGAGCUUAUAGUGAAGCACAUGGGUGAAACAAAAGAAGUGAGAACUAAUAGCAUAGAAUUUUAAAGACACCUGUGAUUUUGUUCAUUGCCC